rnacentral:rRNA from 1 species
AUUGAACGCUGGCGGCAGGCCUAACACAUGCAAGUCGAACGAGGGGCGGACGGGUGAGUAAUGUCGGGGAAACUGCCUGAUGGAGGGGGAUAACUACUGGAAACGGUAGCAAAUACCGCAUACUAUCGGGUGCGCCCAGAGGGGAUUAGCUAGUAGGUGGGGUAAAUGCACACCUAGGCGACGAUCCCUAGGUGGUCUGAGAGGAUGACCAGCCACACUGGAACUGAGACACGGUCCAGACUCCUACGGGAGGCAGCAGUGGGGAAUAUGGCACAAUGUGGGCAAGCCUGAUGCAGCCAUGCCUCGUGUAUGAAGCAGGCCUUCGGGUUGUAAAGUACUUUCAGCGGGGAGGCGUUACCCGCAGAAGAAGCACCGGCUAACUCCGUGCCAGCAGCCGCGGGAAUAC